AGGAAUAUUGGUCAAUGGGCGAGAGCCUGAACCAGCCAAGUAGCGUGAAGGAUGAAGGUCCUACGGAUUGUAAACUUCUUUUAUACGGGAAUAAAGUAUCCUACGUGUAGGAUUUUGUAUGUACCGUAUGAAUAAGCAUCGGCUAACUCCGUGCCAGCAGCCGCGGUAAUACGGAGGAUGCGAGCGUUAUCCGGAUUUAUUGGGUUUAAAGGGAGCGCAGACGGGAGAUUAAGUCAGUUGUGAAAGUUUGCGGCUCAACCGUAAAAUUGCAGUUGAUACUGGUUUCCUUGAGUGCAGUUGAGGCAGGCGGAAUUCGUGGUGUAGCGGUGAAAUGCUUAGAUAUCACGAAGAACCCCGAUUGCGAAGGCAGCUUGCUAAACUGUAACUGACGUUCAUGCUCGAAAGUGUGGGUAUCAAACAGGAUUAGAUACCCUGGUAGUCCACACGGUAAACGAUGGAUACUCGCUGUUGGCGAUAUACUGUCAGCGGCCAAGCGAAAGCAUUAAGUAUCCCACCUGGGGAGUACGCCGGCAACGGUGAAACUCAAAGGAAUUGACGGGGGCCCGCACAAGCGGAGGAACAUGUGGUUUAAUUCGAUGAUACGCGAGGAACCUUACCCGGGCUUAAAUUGCAGACGAAUUACGAGGAAACUUGUAAGCCGCAAGGCGUCUGUGAAGGUGCUGCAUGGUUGUCGUCAGCUCGUGCCGUGAGGUGUCGGCUUAAGUGCCAUAACGAGCGCAACCCUCGUGGCCAGUUACUAACAGGUUAAGCUGAGGACUCUGGCCAGACUGCCAUCGUAAGAUGUGAGGAAGGUGGGGAUGACGUCAAAUCAGCACGGCCCUUACGUCCGGGGCUACACACGUGUUACAAUGGGAGGUACAGAAGGCCGCUACCCGGCAACGGGAUGCCAAUCCCCAAAACCUCUCUCAGUUCGGACUGGAGUCUGCAACCCGACUCCACGAAGCUGGAUUCGCUAGUAAUCGCGCAUCAGCCACGGCGCGGUGAAUACGUUCCCG
rnacentral:rRNA from 1 species